AAUCUCCCUUUGUGAAAUAUUGGGGUGGUGAUGGUGUUGUGCAGUGAAAUGGCAGCCAAGAAAGCCAUAAUUUAUGAUUACACAAGAACCAUGAAUGGUUUUGCAGCCAAGCUCACAGCUGAUCAGAUAACUGCUCUUCUAAAGCAACCUGCAGUUUUAAAGAUACUUCCUGGUGGUUUUCAAAAAGUCCCAGCUACCGAUAUCUCAUCAACCUCAAUUCCAUGAAGCGUGUCGCGAGUUUAAUUUUGUUCACUUACUAAGUGAGUGAAUAAAAUUAUUGACUGGAUGUCCUUAUAUGUAUAGAGAAACAGCACUCUAAUCGGUUGUAGAAUAACAUAUAAUGAUCUAAAUGGUAUAAUAUUAAUUAUAGAAAUAUCCUCUUUCAAUCAGUAAUAUUAUAAA